AUUGAACGCUGGCGGCAGGCCUAACACAUGCAAGUCGAGCGAGCGGCGGACGGGUGAGUAAUGUAUGGGGAUCUGCCCGAUCGAGGGGGAUAACUACUGGAAACGGUGGCUAAUACCGCUUACUAUCGGAUGAACCCAUGUGGGAUUAGCUAGUGGGUGGGGUAAAGGCUCACCUAGGCGACGAUCGCUCGCUGGUCUGAGAGGAUGAUCAGCCACACUGGGACUGAGACACGGCCCAGACGCCUACGGGAGGCAGCAGUGGGGAAUAUGGCACAAUGGGCGAAAGCCUGAUGCAGCCAUGCCGCGUGUAUGAAGAAGGCUUUAGGGUUGUAAAGUACUUUCAGCGGGGAGGCGUUACCCGCAGAAGAAGCACCGGCUAACUACGUGCCAGCAGCCGCGGUAAUAC
rnacentral:rRNA from 1 species